AACGAACGCUGGCGGCGGGCCUCAUACAUGCAAGUCGAGCGCGAAAGUCCGCAAGGAUGAGUAAAGCGGCGCACGGGUGAGUAACACGUGGGUAAUCUACCUUUUGGAUUGGAAUAACCUGUCGAAAGACGGGCUAAUGCCAAGUAAGUUCUUUGGAACGUGGAGUUUUUGAAGAAGAAAGAUGGCGCAAGCUAUCGCCGAAAGAUGAGCCUGCGUCCCAUUAGUUAGUUGGUGGGGUAAUGGCUUACCAAGACAAUGAUGGGUACCUGGUCUGAGAGGAUGACCAGGCACACUGGAACUGAAACACGGUCCAGACUCCUACGGGAGGCAGCAGUAGGGAAUAUUGCGCAAUGGACGAAAGUCUGACGCAGCCACGCCGCGUGAGUGAGGAAGGCCU
rnacentral:rRNA from 1 species